ACUCCUACGGGAGGCAGCAGUGGGGAAUAUUGCACAAUGGGGGAAACCCUGAUGCAGCCAUGCCGCGUGUGUGAAGAAGGCCUUCGGGUUGUAAAGCACUUUCAGUAGGGAGGAAGGUAGUGUAGUUAACACCUGCAUUAUUUGACGUUACCUACAGAAGAAGCACCGGCUAACUCUGUGCCAGCAGCCGCGGUAAUACAGAGGGUGCGAGCGUUAAUCGGAUUUACUGGGCGUAAAGCGUGCGUAGGCGGCUUUUUAAGUCGGAUGUGAAAUCCCUGAGCUUAACUUAGGAAUUGCAUUCGAUACUGGGAAGCUAGAGUAUGGGAGAGGAUGGUAGAAUUCCAGGUGUAGCGGUGAAAAUGCGUAGAGAUCUGGAGGAAUACCGAUGGCGAAGGCAGCCAUCUGGCCUAAUACUGACGCUGAGGUACGAAAGCAUGGGGAGCAAACAGGAUUAGAUACCCUGGUAGGU
rnacentral:rRNA from 1 species